UACGGGGGGGGCAAGCGUUGUUCGGAAUUACUGGGCGUAAAGGGCUCGUAGGCGGCCAACUAAGUCAUACGUGAAAUCCCUCGGCUUAACCGGGGAACUGCGUCUGAUACUGGAUGGCUUGAGUUCGGGAGAGGGAUGCGGAAUUCCAGGUGUAGCGUGAAAUGCGUAGAUAUCUGGAGGAACACCGGUGGCGAAGGCGGCAUCCUGGACCGAUACUGACGCUGAGGAGCGAAAGCCGG
rnacentral:rRNA from 1 species